UGAUGCUUCAUAUGUUGUCCUCUCAAAACCUGUUGCUAUCUCAGUAUCAUCAUUUUGUUCUACCCUUGUUUCCACAAAAGUGUAGCUCACUGAUUUCUACUUCUUAAGGAUUAUUUCAAUUGCUUGAUGAUUCAAAAGGUUCAAUGAAUGGAUAGGUUGCUAUUGUAAUGGGGAUGGUGUUUAUACUUGACAAUGGGUACUAUAAUGUGAAAUUGGAAAAAGGAUUAUUUGGCUAUUGUCAUUCCCUUCCUCGUGUGCCUCUAGAUUAUAGUACUUUCUCAACCUAUUUUAUUUCAUAUUGUUAAGCCAAGAUUCUAAGUCAUCUACUAUUUGUGCAUUAUUCAUCUCUCUUUUCUCAAUCUGUCAACUUUUUUCUUUUAGUUUUGUAUUAGAUAAUGUUAUACCAGGAUUCUGGUUAUUCAUUAUGUAUUCAUGGUAAUGAACUGAUCGCAAAAUUGGUUUUUCUUUUUGAAUUAACUUUGAAGAAGUACUGCUUUUAUAAGUUGCAAUAAGAAGCAAGAAUAACCUAGCAAAACUAACAUUGAAACCAAUGAUCCAACAAAAUUGAUCCACUGGAUUCUCUGACCAUGUCAAUUGGUUUCAGUUUGAGAAAAUGAUAAUCUGAAGUGUCAGUUCAAUUAAAAUACACUGCAACCUACCAACCCAUGAACAGUUGAGGAAUAAGUGAGUUGGAAAUUGG
rnacentral:misc_RNA from 1 species